rnacentral:tRNA from 1 species
GCCUUCGGGGUGUAGUGUUCAGCACGCUCGGCGCGUAUUCGAGAGGUCCGUGGUUCGAGUCCCGGUGAGAGCA